GUAAAUGGAUUUCCAUGUUUUCAAUUGGUUUCACGUUCCUUCUUUGCUCUAGUUUAAUAAGAAACCAAGGUGCUGAACAACUCGCCUUUCACUUCAAUGUCUUUACCAAAGCUGGCAGUAGCUUUAUUACUCUGAGUGUUGAAUUCAGCCCUUAACACCAUCUAGAGUCGGGACAAUAGGGAGCAACUGCUGAAGUGCACUGAACCUGGACCUCUGGUGCUGUACUGCUGAACUGUGGGACUCUGAAAUAAGCAGACCAGAAUUUUAUGUUCUGAUUUGAGAGGUGAAAGAACGGGAAUUACUGUACUAAGCAAUAUGAGAUAACGUUCACUGACUCGAAUAUAGAAUUGUUUCAAACAGGGGUUCAAGUCCUGCUCCUCCUAAUUUUUUUGUUGUUGUUUUUACAAGACAGGAAAGGGACUGUGCCUAAAGCACCGCACAGAUCUUCCUGUUCUCUCUUCCUCUUAAUAUUACAUUUGAGCUGUCACGAGAAUACAUCAACAGCGUUGUCUAAAAUACAAUUACUCAUGUUUUAAAACUGUAAAAUCUCCUUAUACACGCAGAGAUGACUUUCACAGCACACUCACUGCUCAGACAUGCCAUAAAUGCCUUUACAUGGCCUUUAGGGGAAGUUGGUUUACUGUUUCACUAUUUUAUGUUUUCUUACCAGAGCUUACAGUAAAAAAUAUGGUGUUUUUUUAAACAAACAAGCAAAACUUGUGUGUCUUGGCUUUUUAUUUUUUGAAAGGUACAGAAAAGAAUACCAAACAACCACAUAUAAGCAGCAAUUGAUGGAUUGUAGGACGCAUAUGCAAAAUGUCAUUGCCAACGAGCAGUUUAGUUUGUAUGGCAUGCUGUGCAUGUCUCUGAUCUUGACUUAGCAUGCUUGGCUCUGACAAAAAUAAAACCAAGAUAUCCAGUCUGUCAAUCUGUUCUGGUGGAUCACAUCUUUGUGUUGUUGGAAGUUGCAAGAACUUUUCUGAUAGAUUUCAGCAGAACUAAGAAUUACUUGAUUCUAUUGCUGACUUGAUCUCUGCUUUUUGAAACUUUGGACCAGUCUGCGGGUGCGAUGAGUCUUCUGCUUAUUAACACAAGUAUGAAAAAUAGCUCAUGUUCAAGAUCACAGCAUGCAUAGGAGUCCAAACCAUCUUGAGAUAUUGGACAAAGGAAUUAGAGGUCAGCUGGGCAGAAAAAUGUCAGUGUCUUAUGUCUACGCUGGAUAGAAGAAGAAUUAAGAGACUUAUUGAUUCGAGGAAGAUUUAGACCAGUCACUGAGGAGGAACUAGCAGGAAGAGAUUUUCAAGGCAGGUCCUUGGGCUGUGUGUGGCAAUUGGGCAUGUACCUGUUGGAAAUGCUUCAGGCAGAGAGCAACCUGUCUGUAGAGCCCCGGUACAGCAGGGUGCUGGCCUGAAACCAAUGUUCUGUGGGACUGGAGCCAGAAACAGGAUCAGGGUUGCAGGAAGAACCCUGAAAAGAAAGGCUCUUCUUUCAGAAAGUGGAGCUCCAUGAGCUGUCGGCAUCCCAGGGGCAGAGCAGAGGCAGAUUUUGGCUGUGAAGUUGACCCAGCCAAUGCCACGCAGGACAAGGUGGCAUUGAGAAGGUCCACAGCAGCAGCAUGUGUGCUGGAGGGGAACCACAAGCCGUGAAGGAUAGGGCAAAAGUGCCCGCUUCAUAAAUACACAUAAACAAACAAAACAGCUCACCAGCAGACAAUUGUUUUCAGCAGCGUUCUUGAAUGAAUAAGUCAGAAUAAAGACACACGGGAAAACCCAGCAAUAAGAAACCUGAAGAGUCGUGGAUGGAGCAGAUUAAAAGUUCUGCCCAAAAUUCAGUGCUUCAGUGACCAUGGUUUCUCCUCUGCGAAGGCCCUCCUGUUGCCUUAGAAAAUUAUCAUCCCGUUUACUUAAUUAGGCUGACUCCAAGCUUUAGGCAUCGGCCUGCCAAGAUGAUGCACACAGCGUAUGACACCUGUCAGUUGACUUCAAUGACUGCUCACCACUUCUUCGUGUUCUGCACCUCCCACAAGUCAGCUCCACAGAUGUGUCAGGAACGCUUCCUGAUGACUGCAUUGUAACAAAUGUGCAGAGGUAUGAAGUUGCAGUCCAUCACUUCCACACCGUUGCUGUGGCCCUGUGAACUCCUCUGAAUGAAAAACUCUUCAGUAUCACUCAGAAAUAUGAGGUUUAGGUUCAUCAGCUCCUUGUUGGCUUGCGACUAAAGGCCACAAUCAGUGUGGAGAAUGUGGGGCCCUUCUGCUCCAGACAUAUUUUCCAUAGUAGUUCCAUAUUUUCCUCCAAUUUACAAAGCAUUUCCAAAGGUGGAGAGCAAGAAGUGCACUGCCUACCUCCUGCAUCACCCGCAACAGACCUUCCCACAGCACCAAAGGGAGAGCAGGGAGGUCGUUGGCUUGAAAUGAACUGCACUGCCAACCCAUAAGGUGCAUUUGGGUUCACCGUGUUUUCCCUGUAUUUAAAUUUUACUCAUCUGAAAUUAAGCUAAUUAUACGUUUUCUUUAAUUUUCUCCUGUAACUCCUCUUUAUUUGAACAGCACUCAUAAGAUGUUUGAUUAUGGUCUAAAGUUACAUCGACUUUCACCCCAAAUCUGCUGUCCAUUCAGAGAAGAGGCAGAAGGAGAUGGGCUGGGUUAGUCUAGGGAGAGUUGGAUGGAGAAGAUAGUAAGAGGCUCCAUCAGUGCUCCCCAACUAAGUGACACUGAAGUGCCACAUGGAGGAAGUACUUUUUGGGGCGCUAUCAGCAGCCUAAAAUUGUACUGGUACAUCCUUUUCCCUGGGUUAACUCUGGUCUCUUCUGUGCCACAGUGUGAAAGGUCUGAAGUAUCUCAGCCACUGUGUUAUGCUGACAGCACCCUUACCAGAGGAAUGCUGUUCUGCUCUCCUGUGAAGGAAGAAGGGAAUAGGAGCUCUCAUAAGAGCAUUUCUUGUGCUUCAAGUUCUUUGUAAGAGAAAACAUAGCUAAUUUUAGUUUAAAUGGAUGUUAAUUUGACGUGUGGAUUUGAAUAACUGAGAUAAAUUCUUGGCUUUUUGGCAUUAUAAUAUAUUAAAUGACAAAUGCUUUUUGAAUACUGAAAGGUUCUUUCUCUCUCCAGCACCUAAUGAUAAAGCUGUAAGGCGUAAGUCUCCUGGAUUUGCAGGAAGUUGCACAGAAUGGUCCAAUAGGUCAUCUUCAUCUCUGGCUUAUGUGGUAAUAAAGGAAUAAUAAAAACGAAGGUUGCAAAGCAUUCUUUCC
ensembl:lncRNA